rnacentral:rRNA from 1 species
AUACGUAGGGGGCGAGCGUUGUCCGGAAUGAUUGGGCGUAAAGGGCGCGUAGGCGGCCCGGUAAGUCUGGAGUGAAAGUCCUGUUUUUAAGAUGGGAAUUGCUUUGGAUACUGUCGGGCUUGAGUGCAGGAGAGGUAAGUGGAAUUCCCAGUGUAGCGGUGAAAUGCGUAGAGAUUGGGAGGAACACCAGUGGCGAAGGCGACUUACUGGACUGUAACUGACGCUGAGGCGCGAAAGUGUGGGGAGCAAACAGGAUUAGAUACCCUGGUAGUCCACUCUGUAAACGAUGAAUGCUAGGUGUAAGAGGUAUCGACCCCUUUUGUGCCGGAGUCAACACAAUAAGCAUUCCGCCUGGGGAGUACGGCCGCAAGGUUGAAACUCAAAGGAAUUGACGGGG